GGCACAUGAGCGAGAGGGGCGAGCGAGGAGCGGAGGCGGCGGUGGCGGCGGCAGCACCAACAGCGGCGCGGAGAGACGGCUCCAGGCAGUUUCCAGCCCCUUCCCUUCCCCUCCCCACCCCACCCCCUUCUCGCUGCUCUCCUCUCCCCGCCAAUGGAGAGCGAGCUGAUGACAAAUAGCGGGCCGCCGAGUCCGCGGGACUCGCGCUAGGAGUAAUAAAACAGACCGAGGGAUCAAGGAGCCGGGGAGGGGGCGAGGGGAGGGCGCGAGUGUGUGUGCGUCUGUGUGUGUGUGUGUGUGUGUGUGUGCGCGCGCGCGCAGGCGGCCGCGGGGGCAGCGCGGGCGGUUCUGCUCCGGCCCGGAGCGCAGCGGAAGCUCUGAGGGAUGCAGCGGCGGGGACCUUGGCCGGUGCGUGAUGCGGCGAUGGAAGUGGAGCGGGCGGUGCUCCCUGGGAGCUCCGCAACGACAGGUUUCGGGCUAGUGGUUUUGCUUCCUCCGGUCGUCUCUCAGCGGCCGCUGGGCGAGACGACGACGCAGAGGAGAGCGCCGCGGGGAGGGCGCUCCGGGCGCUGUGCGCUUUGCCCACAAAGGGCAGCGGUCCCGCCGACCCGCUUCUCCGCUGUGUUGGAGGCUGAGCUGAGGGCCGCUUCUCGGCUCCUUUUUUUUUUUUUUUUUUUUCUUUUAAUUAUUGCAAUGACACACUUUCAAUUUAUUUUAUGAUCACAAGUUUAAUCCUCCACUAACAAAGAAUUUAACAAAUAGUGAGUAGAACAAUCACCAUUUCUCAGGAGUAUAGAUAAGGGCUAUAAACAGUAAUCAAAUCUCAAGGUAUUAAUUUCAUUUGCAUACAUUAAAUUUUUGGGUAUGUUAUAUAUUAGUUACCACAGAUCAAAGGAAACAUAAUAUUUGUCUGUUUGGGACUGGCUUCUUUCACUAAGUUUAGUGGUCUCCAAUUCCAUCCAUUUUGUUGUGAAAUGGAAUACACAUUUGUUACAUAGACCAAAUGGCCAACCAGUUUAAGUAGUCUACUUUAUUUGAUAUAGAUUCAUUGGGUUUUUAUUAAUUAUCUGGUUUAAAUGGCAACCUGAGGUAGCCAUUUUAUUAGCAUUAAUUAAGCUUCAUGUAAACAAAGUAUUAUGAUUUCUAACAUGGCAAUGUGAACUUUCCACUAAAACUAUUAAUAGAACUUCAAAGUGUGUUCAAGUUUGUAGCUAACUAUUUCAAUGAUAUAAUACUUGAACCUUGUUUCAGUGGUCUAAUUGAAAACAAGACCUUCCUUUAAAAUGAUCAAAACUACUUUAAAGACUGAAUUCUUCAACAAAUGGCCCUCCUUUUUUUUUUUUUUCAUAAAAACACUUUCUCUGAGAGGAAAAUUUGUAUAAAGUGUUUUUGACAUCACAGACCUUUGUUGGCUUGAUUUUUCUUAACUUUUCUUAUUCUUCAUAUUGGGAUUACAAGUUAAUAUGAUAGCACAUAGUAGUGGAUGGAAAAAGGGGGAAAACUCAAGUCUACUAGAGCAUUUAUAAGCUAAAGUCAAGUACAACAAAUAUCAGAAUGAGUUUAAUGUAGGCAAAUGUGAUCAGCCACAGUGUAAGAAAAGCUUAAUUUAUUAUAUCCUUAGGGAGAAACAAAAUCUAAGUUUGGGCCGAUGUUGCGGCUCAAUAGGCUAAUCCUCUGCCUGUGGUGCCGGCACCCUGGGUUCUAAUCCCAGACGGGGCAC
ensembl:lncRNA